GGUGAAGCCCUUCGGGGUGGAUCAGUGGCGAACGGGUGAGUAACACGUGAGCAACCUGCCCUUGGCUCUGGGACAACCACUGGAAACGGUGGCUAAUACCGGAUACGACCCAUGCAGGCAUCUGUUGUGGGUGGAAAGAUUUUUCGGCUGGGGAUGGGCUCGCGGCCUAUCAGCUUGUUGGUGGGGUGAUGGCCUACCAAGGCGACGACGGGUAGCCGGCCUGAGAGGGCGACCGGCCACACUGGGACUGAGACACGGCCCAGACUCCUACGGGAGGCAGCAGUGGGGAAUAUUGCACAAUGGGCGCAAGCCUGAUGCAGCGACGCCGCGUGAGGGAUGACGGCCUUCGGGUUGUAAACCUCUUUCAGCAGGGAAGAAGCGAAAGUGACGGUACCUGCAGAAGAAGCACCGGCUAACUACGUGCCAGCAGCCGCGGUAAUACGUAGGGUGCAAGCGUUGUCCGGAAUUAUUGGGCGUAAAGAGCUCGUAGGCGGUGUGUCGCGUCUGCUGUGAAAACUCAGGGCUCAACUCUGAGCUUGCAGUGGGUACGGGCACACUUGAGUGCUGUAGGGGAGACUGGAAUUCCUGGUGUAGCGGUGAAAUGCGCAGAUAUCAGGAGGAACACCGGUGGCGAAGGCGGGUCUCUGGGCAGUUACUGACGCUGAGGAGCGAAAGCAUGGGGAGCGAACAGGAUUAGAUACCCUGGUAGUCCAUGCCGUAAACGUUGGGCGCUAGGUGUGGGGUCCAUUCCACGGAUUCCGUGCCGCAGCUAACGCAUUAAGCGCCCCGCCUGGGGAGUACGGCCGCAAGGCUAAAACUCAAAGGAAUUGACGGGGGCCCGCACAAGCGGCGGAGCAUGCGGAUUAAUUCGAUGCAACGCGAAGAACCUUACCAAGGCUUGACAUGCGCGGUGGAAUCCCAGAGAUGGGGUGUCAUUUAGUUGGUCGCGUACAGGUGGUGCAUGGUUGUCGUCAGCUCGUGUCGUGAGAUGUUGGGUUAAGUCCCGCAACGAGCGCAACCCUCGUUCCAUGUUGCCAGCAAUUCGGUUGGGGACUCAUGGGAGACUGCCGGGGUCAACUCGGAGGAAGGUGGGGAUGACGUCAAAUCAUCAUGCCCCUUAUGUCUUGGGCUUCACGCAUGCUACAAUGGCCAGUACAGAGGGCUGCGAUACCGUGAGGUGGAGCGAAUCCCAAAAAGCUGUCUCAGUUCGGAUCGGGGUCUGCAACUCGACCCCGUGAAGUCGGAGUCGCUAGUAAUCGCAGAUCAGCAACGCUGCGGUGAAUACGUUCCCGGGCCUUGUACACACCGCCCGUCACGUCAUGAAAGUCGGUAACACCCGAAGCCGGUGGCCCAACCCC
rnacentral:rRNA from 1 species